rnacentral:rRNA from 1 species
AGCGAACGCUGGCGGCAGGCUUAACACAUGCAAGUCGAGCGGGCAUCCUUGUGGUGUCAGCGGCAGACGGGUGAGUAACGCGUGGGAACGUGCCCUUCGGUUCGGAAUAACUCAGGGAAACUUGAGCUAAUACCGGAUACGUGCGAGAGCAGGAAGGUUUAUCUGGCGAAGGGUCGGGCCGCGUCUGAUUAGCUAGUUGGUGAGGUUAUGGCUCACCAAGGCGACGAUCAGUAGCUGGUCUGAGAGGAUGAUCCGCCACGCUGGGACUGAGACACGGCCCAGACUCCUACGGGAGGCAGCAGUGGGGAAUAUUGGACAAUGGGGCCAACCCCGAUCCCGCCAUGCCGGGUGAGUGAUGACGGCCUUAGGGUUGUAAAGCUCUUUUCUACGGGACGAUAAUGACGGUACCGGAGGAAUAAGCCCCGGCUAACUUCGUG